ensembl:lncRNA
UCGGCCUGUGUCAAUCGAGGAUGAGUUUAGUGAGGGUUGAAAGUUUUCGAUCUAGAUUGCAGAUCACUAUUGUCACUUUAUACAAACUGAAGGUAUGCGUCGUUGCGUGUUUGUUUUUGUGGGCAUUUGACUGAACAGCCCAGACAAAUAUUGCUACCAACAUGGCACUUCGAAACAGACCACCACAGUGUUAGAUGACUGACAAGAUCUAUGGGGGGGCCCCCUUUGGGCCCCCCCAUACCAACUUAGUCUUCAAAGGAAUCUAGUGCCAUGGGACUCCAGUGUCUUCAAAACAUCCUCGGAAUACAUGUGUAUGAAUGGUCCACCGAAGUGGCUUCCAGAGCCAUCUUUCGGUCUUGGUCAGGAUUUGUUACAGUUGCCCUUCAAUGUAGCAGGCUACGGGUUUCUGAAGAAGCCUGCUUUACGUAGCACUGGAGUACAAAUAUUGUGCAAAAUGCUCAUGUAAUUGCACUAGCACUGGUAACCUGUAGAUUAGCUUAGUUUAACGUAAUUCGGUGCUGUCUGUCAAAUGUGUGGCUUACUUUAAGUCCACAAGGCCCUCUGGUAAACCACGUUGGAACACCCCUGGACAAGGUGAUUAGUCACUGGGUGUGUGCUAAAGUUUUGUUCCAUUUUUCACUAGUUGCAUAAGGUUUGGUAGAAUUGUUUGGAUGCUAGCGACGUGAUGGCGUAUGUACAAGAGCCUACCGUGGCCAGGCCACAGUUGCGACGGGCACGGCCAGAUGGCCUAGUGUGAGUGCAAUCUUGAUUACAUUUGUAUACUGUUUACCAUUGGAUGUUUAUGCAAUUUGGCUUAAUUCAUCCGCUGUAAAGCUGCAUUUGACUAUUCCAGGGUCGUUUUGUACAGGCUUUCAAUUGACCAUGUUGAUUAGUUUGUGGGAAGUUUUUAUUUUUUUAUUUUUUUUACCCUUGCUUACAAUCCAACGGUUGCGACCACUUAUGCAACUGGGCUGUGAACCUUGCAAUUCUAGUUGCAUAUUUGUACACGCAAGCUUGUCCAUUUCUAUCGCCAUCACUAACCCUAGCUUCAGCAUUUCCUUGUAGGCCAUUAGCUGACUUGUGUAUUGGAGCAAUGAUUUGGGUAUUUUAAGAUGCUUGAAAACCUAAAAUAAAGCAAAAUGCGUGUCUGGUGUGCAAGAGCCAAUUUGUUGGCUUGCAGUAGUCGAGGAGUUGACGUAGGUCGUAAGACAUCUGGAGGUUGUGGCAAUGGAGGCUUGUGGUAGAUCUGCCUUCCAAGAAAGGCUAAUUCUUCUGAAGCAUGAUUAAUAGUUUAGUAAAUUGAAUCUAUUCAUAUAGAACUAUAAAAUCCAAGACUGCAGCUAGUAACUUGGAUCGCAAUAUGUGGAAAGUAUUAGUCUUCAUUUGUAACAACAGAAUAAUUAACAUGACUAACUGGGUUUCUUCCAUUUUCUAACUAGGGGGACUUGACUGGUGAGUCUACUGGAUUAAUCAGUAGCGGUACUUUGCCCAACAGAUUUGAUGGCAUGACUACAGGGUGACAAAGACAAUUAUUCCCUGCCUAUCAAAAGAGACUUCUAAAACAUAUCUGCUAGAACAGUUCCUAUACUUUUUGUAUAAUUUGGUCAUGCUGCAAAUUCACUUUUUGUAGUUGCUCCAUAUUUAGUUCUUUGACAGCCUCACCUGGUAGAAAAGUCUAUUUAAAUCGGCUAAAUAUAAUGAACUAAAUUAAUAGCCAUGAAAUGUUGUCACUCAUACUAAUGGCAAAUACCCCCUUUCAGUUGGUGGUUCAACACUGAUGUCUCUCUAGGCUUGAGGGAGAGCUCAUAAGUAAAUUACACGAAUGUCCUGGAGCAAUUGGGAAUACACUUUUAUUUAGUCUACCUGACCAGGGACAUCUUUGAACUAUAGGUCACCUAACCCAAACUUUUCACUCUUGUUAGGUUGUCCUUUUCUCUUGUUUUAACCCGAAAGGGCUGAAAAUAUCAACAUUUCAGGUAUUCUGUUUGGAUAAUGUGCAGAACUUGUGGCUUCACUAAUAAAAAAAAAUUAACGAAUGUAUUUUUCUUAAUGUGGUUAAACUAUUUAAAGAUUUGUAUGAAAAAUAUUUCUGCUCAAUUUGUGGUCAAUGAAACUCAAAUUUUUUAAUUUGAUAAAAAACAACGAUGGGUUGAAGGUAUUUGCUUUGGGCAUCUUUUGAUAUUUUUAGAAUCUAGCUCCGUUGCCGUUAGAAAUGGUGUCUCCCAGUACUGCAAAGUGCUUCCACAAGUUUAAAAAAGAAUGGGCAGAAAAGGAACUGCCAACUAAAUCUAUUUAACAUGGGUAGAAAGUUUGCAUGGAAGCUCUUGGCUGCUGGUUCCCAACACAGCUCCACUGUUAGCCUGUGACCUUGCGUUUAACUUUUUUGGACUUUUGGUGACUUUCACAAAAGAGAAAUGAACUGGUUAAUACAAUAAACAAGACAUUUGAAACUUCAGCUACAUUUUUAUCUAUUUGUACUGCCUUUGAUUUCAACCCGUGACAUGUUUGUCAGGUGAUAACUAUGUACCUGUGACCGCAUAUCAUGGUACCAUUUUGAACUGUUUGUGGAUAUUGCAUU